rnacentral:rRNA from 1 species
GUCUACGGCCAUGCCACCCUAAACAUGCCUGAUCUCAUCUGAUCUCGGAAGCUAAGCAGGGUCGGGCCUGGUUAGUACUUGGAUGGGAGACCACCUAGGAAGACCAGGUGCUACAAGCG